CCUAAGCCUCGUGUAUUGACUUAAAUUGAUCAGUAUUUUGCUCCGCGGACUGAUCAUUCCUAGAGCAAGUGGCAAAGAGCUUGGUGAUUGGUAUUCGAAACCCAAGUUCAAAUCCUAGUUGAUUCACAUUUCUAGCUAAAUUUAUUUCUAAAUGAAAUAAACGAAACGGGUAGCUGUUACCUAUCUCUAAAAAAAAAAAUAUUAUACUCCGCGGCGGAAGAUUAGGUUGGAUUGAGUCACAUUCGAAAUGACGUGAUAGUUAGUUGAGUCAAGUCAUAUUCGAAGUAGCGUGAGGCUGAUUAAAUCGAAUUACAAUCGAGAUUCGUUAACGUUAUACACUUUAAAUGAAUUGAUUAUAUAUUUCUAACCGUUCGAGUUUUUGGAAUUAAUAAUUAGUGUCAACAAUCCGACGUCAUGCAUCAAGUUGCAUGCUGUCCUAUUUUAAAGCUUACCUAU
rnacentral:lncRNA from 1 species